rnacentral:rRNA from 1 species
GGUGGAGUAAAUCCAUGAGUAACGUAGCUAACGCGUGAAGUUGACCGCCUGGGGAGUACGGUCGCAAGAUUAAAACUCAAAUGAAUUGACGGGGGCCCGCACAAGCGGUGGAUUAUGUGGAUUAAUUCGAUGCAACGCGAAAAACCUUACCUGGCCUUGACAUGUACGGAACUUUCCAGAGAUGGAUUGGUGCCUUCGGGAACCGUAACACAGGUGCUGCAUGGCUGUCGUCAGCUCGUGUCGUGAGAUGUUGGGUUAAGUCCCGCAACGAGCGCAACCCUUGCCAAUAAUUGCCAUCAUUUAGUUGGGCACUUUAUUGGGACUGCCGGUGACAAACCGGAGGAAGGUGGGGAUGACGUCAAGUCCUCAUGGCCCUUAUGGCCAGGGCUUCACACGUAAUACAAUGGUCGGUACAGAGGGUAGCCAACCCGCGAGGGGGAGCCAAUCCCAGAAAGCCGAUCGUAGUCCGGAUUGCAGGCUGCAACUCGCCUGCAUGAAGUCGGAAUCGCUAGUAAUCGCGGAUCAGAAUGUCGCGGUGAAUACGUUCCCGGGCCUUGUACACACCGCCCGUCACACCAUGGGAGUGGGUUUUACCAGAAGUAGUUAGUCUAACCUUCGGGGGGACGAUUACCACGGUAGUAUUCAUGACUGGGGUGAAGUCGUAACAAGGUAGCCG